GCGACUAUAGCUCAGUUGGUGAGAGCACCUCCCUUACAAGGAGGGGGUCACUGGUUCGAGACCAGGUAGUCGCA
rnacentral:tRNA from 1 species